rnacentral:rRNA from 1 species
UACGUAGGGGGCUAGCGUUGUCCGGAAUCAUUGGGCGUAAAGCGCGUGUAGGCGGUCCGGUAAGUCCGCUGUGAAAGUCGAGGGCUCAACCCUCGAAUGCCGGUGGAUACUGUCGGGCUUGAGUACGGGAGAGGCGAGUGGAAUUCCUGGUGUAGCGGUGAAAUGCGCAGAUAUCAGGAGGAACACCGAUUGCGAAGGCAGCUUGCUACAGGGAUAUUGACACUGAGGCACGAAAGCGUGGGGAGUCAAACAGGA